ensembl:lncRNA
GUCAAAUUAAAUGAAUGGCUAUGCUUGCAAAAUGCACAAUUUAUCCUGCUGGGGCCCCAGUGAAGACUCUAAAAUUCACCUGAGCAGACUCGAAGAGCAAGACAAGAAAUUCCUGAGCUGGGGCUCUCAGGCUCUUUCAUCUGGUUGCUGUGAGCUGCAGCCUGGUGUGCUGGAAACAGCCUGGGCUUGGGAGUUUAGACAGACUUGACUUUGAAUCAAGACUCGGCCAUUGGCUGCUGUGUGACCUUAGACAAAUUACUUAACUUCUCUGAGCCUCUCACCUAUAAAGAGGGGAUAACAGAACUACUUUCCCUUUUGGGACAUUGGUAUAGAGUAUGUAAAGUGCCCGAUACUGGGGCAAUGUUCAAUCAGUGGCAAUCCUUAUUGUUUAGAUUUGUUCUGAGGAGUAUAAAAAACUGAAAUGAAGUUGAGGAGUUGGCAAGAGGGCUUUUCCCCAUGGAAGUCACAGCUGUCAUUUUGAUGGAGUUGCACCAGCCAGCUGGACACUGAUGGAGCCAAGGACUGCCCCCCAAUAGGGUAUAAGGGCAUCAUUUUGGAAUUUCAGCAUGGAUAUCUCCUUGCCUGGUGCCAUGUGAACCUGGCUUCCUGCCUUCCCUGCUGGUGACUAUCUUAUUGUAGGGGAGGGGAGAGAGCAUCGCAAGACCCCCGGAAGUGGCUCUUGUUAGAGGAUGGAAAUCCUCCACCAUGCACCGCAGACUCUUGGUUCCCAGAGCAGAUGUUGACCUCCUGUGCUCUUCGGUGGUCCUUCCUGACCAGGAGACAGAGUCCCCUACCUUCCAGAAGUGGGACUGGUGAUGGUGACAAAGGGGAAGACAAUGGAAGAGAAUUUCCUUUCUUUCCUUCUUUCUUGGAAAUCCAAGGUGGCGGUAACAUCAGAAAGACAGAUGCUAUUUUCUCCCCAUUACAGAUCUCAAGCUGAAGCCCAGAGAUCAAGGAGGCCCUGUAGAUACAGGUUGAAUCCGUUCAUACAGAUUCAAGUUAGGUAGUUUCCUCGGAAAUAUACCUACCUGCUGCUGCUGCUGCUGCUGCUGCUGCUAAGUCACUUCAGUCAUGUCCGACUCUAUGCAACCCCAUAGACGGCAGCCCACCAGGCUCCCCUGUCCCUGGGAUUCUCCAGGCAAGAAUACUGGAGUGGGUUGCCAUUUCCUUCUCCAAUGCAUGAAGAU